rnacentral:rRNA from 1 species
AUUGAACGCUGGCGGCAGGCCUAACACAUGCAAGUCGAGCGGAUUAAGGGAGCUUUCUCCUGGAUUCAGAGGCGGACGGGUGAGUAAUGCCUAGGAAGCUGCCUGAGAGUGGGGGAUUACGUCUGGAAGCGGGCGCUAAUACCGCAUGCGGCCUGAGGGAGAACGAGGGGGAACUUGGGAUUUUGCGCUCUCAGACGUGCCUAGGUCGGAUUAGCUAGUUGGUGGGGUAAAGGCCUACCAAGGCGACGAUCCGUAACUGAUCUGAGAGGAUGAUCAGUCACACGGGAACUGAGACACGGUCCAGACUCCUACGGGAGGCAGCAGUGGGGAAUAUUGGACAAUGGGCGAAAGCCUGAUCCAGCCAUGCCGCGUGUGUGAAGAAGGCCUUCGGAUUGUAAAGCACGUUAAGUUGGGAGGAAGGGCAGUAAGUUAAUACCUUGCUGUUUUGACGUUACCAACAGAAUAAGCACCGGCUAACUUCGUG